GACGAACGCUGGCGGCGUGCUUAACACAUGCAAGUCGAACGGAAAGGCCCUGCUUUUGUGGGGUGCUCGAGUGGCGAACGGGUGAGUAACACGUGAGUAACCUGCCCUUGACUUUGGGAUAACUUCAGGAAACUGGGGCUGAUACCGGAUAGGAGCUCCUGCUGCAUGGUGGGGGUUGGAAAGUUUCGGCGGUUGGGGAUGGACUCGCGGCUUAUCAGCUUGUUGGUGGGGUAGUGGCUUACCAAGGCUUUGACGGGUAGCCGGCCUGAGAGGGUGACCGGCCACAUUGGGACUGAGAUACGGCACAGACUCGUACGGGAGGCAGCAGUGGGGAAUAUUGCACAAUGGGCGGAAGCAUGAUGCAGCAACGCCGCGUGCGGGAUGACGGCCUUCGGGUUGUAAACCGCUUUCGCCUGUGACGAAGCGUGAGUGACGGUAAUGGGUAAAGAAGCACCGGCUAACUACGUG
rnacentral:rRNA from 1 species